rnacentral:rRNA from 1 species
UACAGAGGUCUCAAGCGUUGUUCGGAUUCAUUGGGCGUAAAGGGUGCGUAGGCGGCGGGGCAAGUCAGGUGUGAAAUCCCGGAGCUCAACUCCGGAACUGCACUUGAUACUGCCUUGCUAGAGUACUGGAGAGGAGACUGGAAUUUACGGUGUAGCAGUGAAAUGCGUAGAUAUCGUAAGGAAGACCAGUGGCGAAGGCGAGUCUCUGGACAGUUCCUGACGCUGAGGCACGAAGGCCAGGGGAGCAAACGGGAUUGAGAA